rnacentral:rRNA from 1 species
CCUGGCGGCACUAGCGCGGUGGUCCCACCUGACCCCAUGCCGAACUCAGAAGUGAAACGCCGUAGCGCCGAUGGUAGUGUGGGGUCUCCCCAUGCGAGAGUAGGGAACUGCCAUGC